ACACAUAGCAGGGCCACCUCAUCCAUUAUCUCUCAGCUCGGGCAUGUUACAGAUGCGGUCACUCUCCUCAUGGAGCAGAAUAGAUUGAGAGGAGGAGCCACAUCCUCGAGAGGAGGAGCCACAUCCUCGAGGAGACCUUAGCUGCUUUUUGCUUUAUUUUGACAUGUAUUCCUUUUUGCUUUACUUAUUGUAUUCUCAAAUGUAUUUACAUACAAAUUAAUACAAUGAGUAGACAUAUUCUCUUCAAUUCUGUGCCAAUUGAUCUCUGUUUGCUUGUGUGUUCUAUUCACUUCCUUUUUGAUACGAUGACAAAAAGGGAGAGAAAUACUUAAU
rnacentral:lncRNA from 1 species